CGAGGACAGUGUCAGGUGGGCAGUUUGACUGGGGCGGUCGCCUCCUAAAGAGUAACGGAGGCGCCCCAAGGUUCCCUCAGAAUGGUUGGAAAUCAUUCGAAGAGUGCAAAGGCAGAAGGGAGCUUGACUGCGAGACCUACAAGUCGAGCAGGGACGAAAGUCGGGCUUAGUGAUCCGGUGGUACCGCAUGGAAGGGCCAUCGCUCAACGGAUAAAAGCUACCCUGGGGAUAACAGGCUUAUCUCCCCCAAGAGUCCACAUCGACGGGGAGGUUUGGCACCUCGAUGUCGGCUCAUCGCAUCCUGGGGCUGAAGUAGGUCCCAAGGGUUGGGCUGUUCGCCCAUUAAAGCGGUACGCGAGCUGGGUUCAGAACGUCGUGAGACAGUUCGGUCCCUAUCUGUCGUGGGCGUAGGAAAUUUGAGAGGAGCUGUCCUUAGUACGAGAGGACCGGGAUGGACGUACCGCUGGUGUACCAGUUGUUCCGCCAGGAGCACCGCUGGGUAGCUAUGUACGGAAGGGAUAAGCGCUGAAAGCAUCUAAGCGUGAAGCCCCCCUCAAGAUGAGAUUUCCCA
rnacentral:rRNA from 3 species